rfam:Burkholderiales bacterium GWF1_66_17 gwf1_scaffold_8, whole genome shotgun sequence.
CGAUCCGAGGAGCGUUGCAGCGCACCCCUGACCCAUGGUCAGCGCGGGGCGUGAGGCUCGGAAAUCCAUGCAACGACGCUCAUCCACU